AUCAUGUUUGAAUUGUGGCAAGUCAUUAUUAUUAGCCAUGGCUUCAUCACAGAAAUAUCUAAAUGGUGCUCUACAUUGUACAUUGUACUUCUUACAAAAUGGUACCCAAAUUUCAGCAAAUUUGGCAGCUUCCACAAGAGCAUAGAAGGUAAGAGUUGAACACCCAUCAUCAGAAACAUAACAAGCUAGCUUAUUAGCAGGAUAAUCAAGUGCCAACAAUGAUAACACUGUAUUCACUGUGAUUAUUGGUGGUUCUAGCACUGGAUCUGCUGUUGUUACAAACAUGUCCAAUGCUGGAAGCUCAGAAUCAGAUACCCUUUUGGAAAAAAACAAUAAAUAAAUAAAUAGUUAGCAAAUUCAAACAUUAAAUAUAUACAAAAUCUCAUCGAUACUAUACCCUGCCUAAUAGAAUUAAUAUUAGUAUAAAGUUUAAUUAGGAGUAAAAGAUUUCAAUGUGGGAAAUAGUGCAUCAUAUUCUAUAUAGUAUAUACCAUAUCGGGUCAAUUGGCUAAAUCGAUUUGAGAUAAGAGUUAAAAGCGUUAAAGAACCGAUGUUAAAAUUUGGAUAAAGAAAAAAAUAUUAGUAUAAUAACUAAUAAAUUCUGAUUAUUUGUUGUCACUAUUUGCAUGCAUUCACAUAGUCAACACAACGAUGAAAGUUAAAUUGAGAUCACACGAUUCAUAUUUCAAGGUCAAUAUUUCAGAUUUAAAAAAAAAAUAAAUCAAAAUAUGCAUUAAAAUUUGGACAAUGAUCCCGAUUCAAUAACCACCGAUGUAUUGACUACGUGAAUGCAUGCAAAUAGAUAAUAUGCAAUUAAGCAUUGUUGGAUUUGUAGUAUUUUGAUUUGAGGAGUCUAGCAAAGUAUAUAGAGAUGUAUAAACUUACCUAAGCAAGAGACGAUCUAGGAAGGUUUUGGUAUGUGCAGGAGUCCAUUUGGUGCUCAUGGUUGUAAUCCAAGUGAUGGUAAACCAUGACUCACAUAGAAAUGCAACAAAGCAAGAAAAAUUGUGGUUAUUGUAGGAAGAAACACGAUAAGCAAGAAGUAAGAAGAGGAGGAGCAAUGUGAAGGAAUCCAUAACUCUUGAAAAUGUGUGUUUGACCCAUAUUUUUUCAUAGAGAGGGAGAGAAGUUUUGUUCUCCAUAACCAUUGAACAAAUCACUUAGGAAAUUACUCAAGCCACAAAUGUGUGUCUUUUUAUUCUAUCCCACUUGUGCUUCAUGCUUUGGAGGACAAGUACAUAUUUAAGGAAAAAACAAAAUCAUGGUUGGUUGGCGUGGUCUUAUGGACAAUUGGGAUUCUAUGCAUAUUCCUUGUAUUCACUUGGUAGUGUUAAUUGUUAAAUUAAAGACUAGACGACUUGAAAUUUUGAGUUUCAAAGAAAAAUUAAUUUAUUAAGUUUAAUUGUUUAAAGUCACUUUGAAUGUGUGUGUUUUUUUUUUUUUCUUUUGACAAUUGAGAAGUUUAAUUUAAGGUUGAUAUAAGAUUACUUUCAUUUGUUAAGAUUUGAGAACAGAAGUUUGAAAUUACUUAUCAAUUUUUUUUUUGAAGGAGCCUUAUAAGUAUGAUGACACCCCGUGAUCUAUAUCUAUAUAGAAUAUUUUGAAAGGAUCAAUGUUAUAUGGAUAUAUAUUUGUAAAAUAUAAAGUUUUUUUUUGCAAUGAUAAAAAAUGGUUGCAAAGAAAAUCUUAUCCCAUGGACGUGGCGCUGACAUAUAUACUUGGACAAAACAUACACGGGCAAGAGAGUUGUCUAUAUAAUAUGAAUAUGAAUAACGUUUUCUAUACAUGGACAGACCAGAAAAAGAAAAUAAAUUAUAAAUUAAUGCAAAUUGCAUCAAAAGGAUCCUUACAAAUUGGAUGGGUAGGUAAUUAUCUUUGGACAACAGCUCUUAUCUCACUCUCACCAUAACAGUUCACUUGUGCAUUGCUACACGAAAUUUUUUUUUUUCUGCCCUUAUUUAAUUCCAAAAAUACAAAAAUGCCCCACUUUUGAAAAAAAUUGCAUAAAUGCCCUACUUUUCAAAUUUUUCUGGUAACUUGCAACACCCACUUGCGGGGUACCUUAAAAAAAUUUAAAAAAUUCACUACCCCGCAAGUGGGACUUGCGGCCUACUAUUUUUUUUUUUUUUUUUAAAUUAAAUAACUCACUUGCGGGGUGUGAGUUAUUUUUUUUUUUUUUUUAAAAAAAUAAUACAUUGCUACCCCCACUUGCGGGGUAUGCAUAAUUUUUUUUAAAAUUUUUUUAAUACCCCGCAAGCCCCACUUGCGGGUUUGUUUUUUGUUUUUUUUUUUUAAUUUUUAAAAUAAAAAAUAAUAAUAAAAAAAAAGAAGGAAAAAAAAUAAUAAACAUAUUAAAUAUCAUGAUAUCUACAAUUAUUAUAAAUGCCCGGCUGUCCCACACCCUCGUCUUCGACGAUUUCUUCCGCGAUUUACUUGAGGGUCAUGUUGGUCUUCGUCGUUGUUAUCUGCAGCUGAUUGUAUUUGACUACCAUAACCCAAUGACAAUGACACAUCGUGUUCCCUUGUUGGCCAUCCCAUAUCCAGAAAUUGAUCAGUAGAGUUCAACGAAGCCGGAGAAAAGUGAGAUAAUAGGUUUGUUGGUGUUGGUGGGUGGUUGUAGUUUUGGUUGGUGUACAUUGGGUAUUGUGGGUUGCUGUAGGGGGGGUAAUUGGUGUUGGACGGUCCAGCUUGGUUUGGGUCAUUAUAGGAGAAGUAGUUGUUGUUGGAUGCGCCAGCUUGGUUUGGGUCAUUGUAACCAUAAGUUGACUGAUAAUGGGGCUCAUAUGCAUUUCUCGGGGAGGUAUAUGGUGGUGGUUGGAUGAUGUUUUGUUGGGGGGUGUCGAGAAAUUCAUACAUUACAGAACCAUGAAUGUUUUGGGUUGUAUGUGGUUGGGAUUGAUGAUCAUGUAGUUGAGAAAAAAUGUCUUGAUCCCAAAAAUCAUCAUGAAUUGGUGUUUGGUUGUUGCGAAUUUCAGGUUCAUGUUCCGGCUCUUCGGCUUCGUCUGGAUCUGAAUUUGAUGGGUUUGUUUCAAUUGAAAUCCUUAGACGUGGGUUGCAUGUGGUUGUCAACCACUCAAUAUACGCAUGAGUGUGGGUGAGUGAUCUUGGCCGCAUGCGUGGUAAAGUAUGGCUCCGUCGGUUGUCCCAAUGUUCGCACUCUUCUGGAAAGCGAUAACCAUUUGAUUUGUACCACGUCUUGAACCGUUUGUCUAUUACAUGGUACUGUGUCAUGUCUCGUGGGGGCCCUGGUAUUUCUUGUGGCAGACCAAAUUGGAGCUUGACCCUAUCAGUUGGAUGCCAUUCAACUUUGUCAAAACAUAUAAGGUAACUUGUUGCAGUCCACUCCCAAUAUUCUUCAGGCAAGUUGUGUGGAACAUUCUUGUAUGGUCUCCAUUUAAACUAGCACAAGAGAUAAGAUGUAGUGUAAGGUUAACAAUUUUGAUAUAUAUAUAUAUAAAGUCAUAAUUAAAAAAUCAAUUAUAAUAUUACAUCAUGGGGUAGUAUGUCAUCAAACUUUUUUCGGUAAGAAAUAGUGUCAUGGCUUGGAUUUUCAUAAUAUCUUGAACCUGCACCUGUCCAUCUAACAAAUGAUAUAAACAAUUUAGUAACUAAUUUAUCAAAUAAUAAUAUUAAUAAGAAGUGAGAAAAUGUGACGAAAUAAAUAUUAAAAAAAAAAUUGAUCACGAUUACUUUAAUCCAAGCGGCCACUGGAGUGGGUUAUCAUUUUUCGGAGCGAUAUAACUCAACCGACAAUAUCCCCAAACUUGUAACAGGAAAUGACAUCCUGUUAGUGCUUUUAUAUUUGGGUGUGAUGCCUCACACAAGCCACGAUAAAGGUAAGUCAACACUGCCGAUCCCCAACUAUAGUUUCUUGUUAGAUUAAAAUCCAUUAACAAAUACAACCAGGAGUUGUGCACAAAUAAUCCAGUUGUAUUAGGAAACAAGAACCCUCCAAAGAGGUAUAGUAGGUACCUCCUAGUGUGUUGUAUUUUUACCUCCGGAGGAGAUUGUUCACUGAAGUUAUUAUCGACCAGAUUAUCCUUUAACCACGACAAUGAGAGGGUAAAACCAUCAGUUUUAUUUGCUGGAGGAGUUAUUCCCAACAAUUGAGCACAAAUGUUCCACGCAAGAUUUGGAGGAGCCGUAACAAAUGGUCCGCAAAAAGGUAAUCCGAGUAACAUAUAUACGUCUUCCAACGUGAUUGUGCAUUCACCCGUUCGAAAAUGAAAAGUAUGUGUUUCAGACCGCCACCUUUCUACAAGAGCGGUUACGAUGUGUCUAUCGAUUUUGUAACGCCCUAUUUGAGAAACCUCAAAAAAUCCGGUUUGACGUAGAUACUCUUCAAUAUGAGGACUUGGUAUUAUGUGUUGUCUAGUACGGGUGACGAGAGGUGCACCCUGUGCAUCCUAACAAAAAAAAUAAGAAAUGAAUACAAUUAAAACAUAAUCAAAAUAUAAAUUUAAAUAGUUCAAUAUAUAUUGAAAUUAAUAUUGAACUAUAAUAUUAAGAGUAGUAUUAAUAAUUAAAAAAUGAAAACGACAUUAACAAAUUAAUAUUUAUAUAUACCCAUCUUCUGAUAUGUUCUUCAUUGGAUCUGUGAUCAUUUUCCAACCACAAGUAUGCCAUUACUUUAUAUAAUUUGUUUGAAAUAUUGGUUGUAUGUGAGUGAGUAAGGAAAGGAUUGAGAUAACUAGAAUAUGUCUGAAGAGUUAAAAUAUAGUUCUAGUAUUUAUAAUGUAAAGUUAUGUGUAAAUAGGGGAAGUAGUUGUGUGGUAUCGUAAUGAAUGAAGUGAAGAAUUCAAUUCAUAUCUUUUACUAAUUCAACACCUGCAAAGCAACAACACAUGCAAAGCAACAGUCUUAAAAUAAAUAUAGAAGUGACAACUGCAUCAAUAAAUAUAGAAGUGACUACUGCAUCAGAAGCACAGAAGCAUGGUGUUCAACAAGCAUGCUACUCAACAGUAUCAUAUUAAUCAAGUAAGAUAUGACUAUUGCAUGCAAAAUACAUUAAUUUCUUGGGAGAAAUUUUUCACCAAAAUGACACAUGCAUGGUUGAUCACGUGAUGCAUGCAAUCCAUGAAAAAGCAGUACCUUUAAUCCAAUCCAGCUGGCGCGUGGGGCGCGUGCUGUCCUACCUCGCAACUCCAGCUUGCGGGGUACCCUCCAGCUGGCGCGUGGGGGGCCUAACCCGCAACUACAAGUUGCGUGGUACCCUCCAGUUGGCGCGUGGGGGCGCGUGGGGGCCUAACCCGCAACUACAAGUUGCGUGGUACCCCAACCAUUUUUUUUUUUAAAUUUUUUUUAAAUUUUACCUCACAAAAUAUUAUAAAUGUGGUCCGCAUGUUACGAGUAUAUUGCAUCAAACCACUCUACUUCAUACACGCUUAGUCAUUCUUAAGACCAAACCAAAUCAAUGGCAUCAAAUAUAAACGUUUUUGUGUACUAUAAUGGAGAAGUUAAACAAAAUGAUUCCGGUAUUUUUUUUCAAAGUCAGUAUACCAAAGGUUUUAAAGUCAGCAUGGCUAGUACUUACUUGCAUCUCAAAAAAAGAAUUGCGGAGAAAAUAUGUCUCGGACAUAAUAUGGUUGUGUCUGAAAUUAUGUGUCGGAAUCCCAUGUUUGUUGGAGCUACCGCAAUCCACUACCAGGCGUUAAGAAUAACUGAUAACGACGAUGUCGAGUUUAUGUUUAACGUACAUAAAAGUCAUAGUUCGUUGUCCUACAUAGAGCUUUAUGUUACGUUUGAGAUGAAGAAUCCAACAUCUAAUUUUGAGUUAAAUUACCCCUCAAGUUCUAGUCAACACCAAAAUCUACCACAACAACAAUAUAACACACAACACUGCAAUCCCUCAUCGUCAUUGUCCCAACCGCACUACAACCCGUCAUCGCAACCGUUUCAAUCACAGUGGUCACAAAAUGUGUACGAACCACCACAACUAAUAACUCAACCUCAUCCCUCUCAACCCGAAACUUUGAACGAUGAAAUCAAUAUAUUCACCUCCCAAUUCCAAGACCAACCAACUGAUGAAGUUCAAGAUGAUGAAGACAAUGAUGAUGAAGAACUCCUUGCCGCACAAAACGGUGACGAGAACGAAGAAGACGAUGAAGACGAUCUGCCACAACUACCAAUUUUACCAAUUAGAGCUUCUUACAACCCACCAAGGUCCAUGCGCAACGUCAACGAUGACCACUCAACUGAACUUUACCAUUCAAUGGCUCUUCCGGUCGAUCAAGGUAUUGCCCCAGGGAUGCAAUUUCAUAACAAGAAUGAUUGCAUUCUCGCAAUUAAAUAUUAUCACAUGAAAAAAUCAACCGAUUAUAUUGUGAAAAAAUCAGAUCCUGAAAGGUAUGUCAUCAAAUGUAAAGAUACAAAAUGUGGUUUCAAAUUGCGGGCCUCGUGGAGGAAAAAAACUGAUAAAUGGGAGAUUGGGAACAUGAAUGAUCAUACAUGUGUCUCAACAGAAAUGACACAAGAUCAUCACAAACUUAGUUACAAUGUGAUAUGUGAAAGUGUUAAAUCACUACUAUAUAUGGAUGCCUCAAUUACAGUGAAGGUUAUAAUUGCACACAUCCGAGAGAAAUUUAAUUACACAGUUUCAUACAGAAAGGCAUGGAGAGCAAGGAAUAAGGCGAUUGAAUCAAUUUAUGGUAAUUGGGAGGAGUCUUAUGAAGAACUACCACAGUGGUUGAUGGUCAUGGAAAAAGAUUUGCCAGGAACAAUAAUUGAUUUUCAAUCAGACCCAUCAACAGAAGUGGCAAAUGAGACCGUCUUCAAGCGUCUCUUUUGGGCCUUUCGUCCGUGCAUCUCAGGUUUCGAAUUCUGCAAACCAAUUGUCCAAAUUGACGCAACUUGGUUGUAUGGUAAAUACAAGGGAACAUUGUUGUUAGCUGUUGCGCAAGAUGGGAACAACAAGAUAUUUCCCAUAGCUUUUGCAAUCGUGGAAGGCGAGACCAAGGAGGCAUGGAGUUUCUUUUUGAAAAAUUUAAGGCAGCAUGUCACCCCACAAGAGAACAUAUGCCUCAUUUCUGAUAGACAUGUGUCGAUAAAGAGCGCGUAUGAUGAUCCACAGAAUGGAUGGCACGAUGCUCCGACAAGCCAUGUUUAUUGUGUCCGACACAUUGCACAAAACUUUAUGAGAUCAUUCAAGGAUGGAGAACUAAAGAAGAAAGUUGAAUGCAUGGGUAAAAAUCAUAUCUCUUUCCACGUAAAUUCGACAUUUUAUUUGUUUAAAAUGACACAUCUAACUUUUUUCAAAACAAUGCAGGUUACGCCAUGAACAUCCCUACAUUCGAAUACUACCGUUCUGAAAUUGCUGUUGCAGACCGAAAGGCUUUAGCAUGGGUCGACAAUAUUCCCAAACAAAAGUGGACUCAAUCACAUGAUGAUGGUCGACGAUGGGGCCAUAUGACAAGUAACUUGGUAGAGUCACAAAACAACGUGUAUAAGGGUAUUCGAGGACUUCCGAUCACAGCUAUCGUGAAAGCAUCAUAUUACAGGUUGGCGGCCUUGUUUGCUAAAAGAGGACAUGAGGCAGCGGCAAGGGUAAAUUCUGGUGAGCCAUUCUCCGAAAACAGCAUGAAAUAUCUCAGGAAUGAGGUGAUUAAAUCCAACAGUCAUCAUGUCACUCAGUUUGACCGGGAUCGAUAUACCUUUUCCGUCCGUGAAACCAUCGAUCAUAAAGAAGGAUUGCCAAAGGGAGAAUACAAAGUGGACCUGCAAAAUAAAUGGUGUGACUGUGGACGGUUUAGAGCGUUACACCUACCAUGCUCACAUGUCAUUGCCGCAUGUUCUAGCUUUUGUCACGACUACAAGACUUUUGUCGAUAACAAAUUCACGAAUGAGUGUGUAUACGCCGUAUACAACAUCCACUUCGACGUGGUUCACCACCAGACAUAUUGGCCUAAUUAUGAAGGACCGAAGGUGGUUCCCAACAAGUCAAUGCGUAGGGCAAAGAAAGGUCGUCCACCAAUUACUCGCAUUAGGACCGAGAUGGACGAUGUGGAAACUGAGAGAAGAUGCGGUGUUUGUAGGAUGCCUGGUCAUUCCCGCAAAGAUUGCAUUAAUAUUAGACAUCAGUAGAAAUUUAGUCUUUAUUUUGUUUAUAGGAUGUCUAGUGAUUAAUAUUAAUAUUAUUAUUAUUAUUAUUAUUAUUAUUAUUAUUAUUAUUAUUAUUAUUAUUAAUAAUUACCAGAAAAAAUUAAAAAAAAAAACAAAAAACAAACCCGCAAGUGGGGCUUGCGGGGUAUUAAAAAAAUUUUAAAAAAAAAUUAUGCAUACCCCGCAAGUGGGGGUAGCAAUGUAUUAUUUUUAAAAAAAAAAAAAAAAAACUCACACCCCGCAAGUGAGUUAUUUAAUUUAAAAAAAAAAAAAAAAAAAAAUAGUAGGCCGCAAGUCUCACUUGCGGGGUAGUGAAUUUUUUAAAUUUUUUUAAGGUACCCCGCAAGUGGGGGUUGCAAGUUACCAGAAAAAUUUGAAAAGUAGGGCAUUUAUGCAAUUUUUUUCAAAAGUGGGGCAUUUUUGUAUUUUUGGAAUUAAAUAAGGGCAGAAAAAAUAAAAUUUCUUGCUACACUUUAAGAUACUUCCUAUAUCCUAGUAGAAUAAAGUUACUGGUUGUUAUUUAUUCUCAUAUUUGCCAAUCUUAAAGUUCACACAAAUUUUCUGUGAGAGUUGGUAAUAUUUUAAUGCGAGCAGAUUUCAGGGACAUGUAGGACAAAACUGAUCCAUUUAUAAGCCAAUCUCAGAAAUGGAUCUUAUCAUUUGUGUGCCAAAAUAAAUAAAUAAAUAAAUUAGACACUGAUUGCUGAGGAACAUCAAGUGGCACUUAGGCCUACCAGCCCUACUGUAGGAAAAUGCUUCAUUAUUUUAGGGCAAUGUUUAAUGUGGAGCACUUGAGUGGGUGGUCCACUGUAGACCCGCACUUGAAAAUUGUUCAAAACUUCAACCAUUAAUUAAUGACUAAUACCUCAAAAUAGUCCUUGAAUUUUGAAAAAUCGGUCAAUUUUGUCCUUGAAUUUUUUGAAAUAUCAAAUUAGUCCCUGAAUUUUGCAGACGUCCAUCAAAUCAGUCCCUCCGUCCAAAAUGUCCGUUAAUAGUGAUGAUGUGUCAGCCACGUGUACAAGGACUAAACUGAUGGAAAUUGUCAAAAUUCGAUAUUUAACAUUUCAGUCUCUUUUUUCCUGUGUUUCCAAUUAUACCCCUCUAUUACCAUUCACUUUCAUCCUCACAUUUUCACUCAGAAGCAUCACACAAGUCCCUAACCUUUCACCUUCCCGCCUAAACUGUCACCCUCUUCACUUCACCAAAAUCAUCAUCAUCACCGGCGAUCAUCCUUGGAAAAGAUUCGGUUUUGAAGUUAGAUUUUGUGGUUUGUCAAGGUAUAGCCAUUAAACUUUGUUUUCCAUUCACUCUUGUUCGUUUGUUCCUGUUUUGUGUCCGUUUUUUUUGUGAUUUUUGGUUUUAGUUUUAGGCAUUAUUUUUCAACUUUUAACUUCAUAUCAUGUUUCGUUGUUGUUUGUUUGUGAUUGUUGUGUGUUUGAUUGCGUUUUUGAACGAAAUCACGUCCUGAUUUAAACAAAUUAUAAAAAGGGUUUGUUGAGGUUCGUAUUGAAGUCUGAUUUGCAUUUUUUAUGUUGUUUUGCUUUUGAUUUUGACGAUGUUAGCAUAAUUCGCAGGAUGGAAGACUCUAUUACGAUAAUUUUGCAUCACGGUGGUUGUUUAGAGCGAGAUGAGUACCGGAGGCUGCAAUACGUCGAUGGUGAGUUUUGUGUUUGGGAGAAAAUGGAUGUUGAUCAAUUAUGCUUGUUGGACAUUGAGAAGAUGGCGAAACGUUGCAGAGGAUCACAUUGAUAUCUGUUAUGAUAAUUCAAGGACCAAUUUGAUGGUUUUUUCAUUAAUUUGAGGAUCAAAAUGAUGGAUAUGAUUAUAAUUCAAGGACCAAUGUGAUUGAAUUUUUUUUGACAUCAAAUAACCAUUGUUAAACAAACCUUAUGCAGAGGGCAAGCAUAGAAAGGCCUUCCUGGGUUAUUGACAGUGUUUGCUCUUCUUACAACACAAAUUCUAGGACACCAACAUUGAAGCUCUCCCACAUCAUCAUUGUACAUAGAGCUUGAAGAUGAAUACCGGUUGUUGUAGUUGUUUUUGCCCAUCCGCGCACCGCCCAUCAAUUCUAAACACUGAAUCUACAAGUGGGGAAGAAAUUUCGAACCAAUACAUUAUGUUAUGAAAUGAUUCCAAACACUGAAUCUACCGAUAUGUUUUUGGGGAAGAAAUUUUACAUCAAUUUAUGGAAGAAAUUUUGGGGAUUUUGAACUCUAUGUAAGGAAUUAUAACAUUAGGGUUCCAAAUUUAUAUAUUUGGGGAAGAAAUAGUCCUUAAUGAGGAAGUGGAGAAAGAGCCGUUACUCACAAAGAAGGAAAAGAGCCGUUGGAAUUUUGUGAAAAUCCAUCAAUUUGGUCCUUGGAAUUUUGUGUAAAUCCAUCAAUUUCGUCCUUCAAAAUUUUGUGUAAAUCAAUCAGUUUGGUCCCUGCUUGCGUGUCAUCUGACGUGGUAAGCUUUGUCAGAGGUUAACGUGACACGUCACUUCCGUUAACGGACCAAAUUAACGGAGGGACUAAUUUGAUUGACAUUUUGUAAAUUCAGGGACUAAUUUGAUAUUUCGAAAAAUUCAGGGACGAAAUUGGUCGAUUUUUCAAAAUUCAAGGACUAUUUUGAGGUAUUAGUCAUUAAUUAAUAGACAUUGUCUUUUGAAAGUAGAAAUUUACUCUUCUCUUGUGCCAACUUAUUUUUGGUCGAACCAAUAUCAAGUUUCUAUCUCACCGUGUUUCAAACAAAAAACGUGAUAGUCCAUUGUAAACCAUUAUCGAAGUGCUCCACCAUAGAACCAACUUUAAUUUUAUUUAGACAAAAUUAUAAAUUUUACUUGAUGUAAUCUAUUUGAUUUUCAACCUAACCACGUGUGGAAUUAUGUGAUUUCACACAAACAUUAUGUAGACUGUGAAAAUAAUCUCAAAAUGUGACAAUCCUCAUUUUACUACGCAAAACAAGAUUAGAAGUGUAUUUAAGAUUUUAAAAUGAAUAUUUCCUCACUAACAUUUUAAAUAACUUCACUGAAACUAUCAUGCAAUGCAACAACCCAUAACGCAAUCCAUUUUUUUCCUGUUAAUCUCUCCGUUCCCAUUCCUGAAUUACAAUCUUCUUAGACUCGAGCACAACCACGUUAACAUGUCGCUGUUUUUUCAAUGCUUUAGCUUCUCGUACCUUUAGAUCUUCUAAGAAUAACUCUACAAAAUUCUUUUCUGUUUCUCUAUUCAGCUCUGGAUUUGUGCUUUCCACAAUCUAAAUUAACAAUUCAUUCAAGCAGAUAAAGAAACAGUAGUUGUAACGUUUAUAUAACUAAUGAGAAAAACAAUUAACCAAUGUAAGUAAUCAAUAUAGUUAACUUUUACAUGUAACCGUUUUUUUUUUUUUUUUUUUUUAUAAUAACUUCAUGCAGAGAAACAAUGAUAUAGUACAAUACUGAAUACAUUCAAGACAAAUAAUUGAAUAUGAUCAAUAUGUAAUGGUAAGUUUACAUGAAUACACAAAAAGGAAAGCCAACAUCACUGACUUGAAUAUUAUAGAUAAAGGAAUCCCAUGCUUUCCGGUCCCAAACAACCCUUUAAAAAAUGGCAAAUAACAUGCAACCAAGUAAGCACUACAAAACACUUCUCCAGGCCCAUAUCCAAGCCCACUUCCAACACGUGUGGCCCAUCCAAAUAAGCUAGUAGCCAAUGCUGUGAGUUGAACAAACAAUAUUGUUGUACUAGGUAGAAAUAUUGGAGACUCAUUGAAACUAAACCUACCAUUAUUAGAUGAUUGGUCUAUUUUCUGUGUUAUUUCAAAGACAGGUUCAGAUAUUCGUAAUAACUUAAGUAAAAUGGCUAAAAAUCCGAAAAACCAAGCACUCAUUGUUGUAAUUCUCAUCAUCUUCUGAUUGUUCCACCAUGUUCUAAUUGACAAUCCUGUUUUUAAGCUCUCUGAUAUAGUAGAUAUAUUGUAUGUCACAAACAAAGCAGCAUGUAUCCAUAGUUUCUGUAAAAUUCAUCAUUUAUACAACCGUUAGUGAAAAGAGCAGUAAAUUAGUUAUUUAAUAUAAGAAAAUAUACAAUGUUUUUUAGUGAUAUAAUAAAAAAAGAUGAUACACUAGCUAUAUGAAAUAAUAAUAAUAAAAAAUGCAGAGAAGAAUUGAUCAAGUAAAUAUUAUGUUGCUAAAUCUUGUUCCAUACAAGCACAUUUUGGUUCAACAUUAUACAAGCACUUCUUGUAUUCGUUUUUUUUCAUUACUUUCUUCUUGAUAUUUUAGUUAGCAAACUAGAAUAGUGUAGUAUGUAAUUAUAAUCUUGGGUUCAAAUGCAUGUAAUAUCUUAAUGAUAAAUAGUUAUGUUCAGUUUGAAUUUGUUAUGAGUUCAAAAUAGAGUUGGUAACAUGUAUUUAUGUUUUGUACUCACCUCAGGCAAAAAGUUGGAGUUAGUGAGAAUGCAAUAGGCAGGUAGAGCAGCAUAACAGAUUUCAGGGACCGAUCUUAAUGCCCAACUUAAGAUCCAAAAAUACCCAAGAGCCUCUCUAAAUUGGAGCUUACCAUAGAGAAAGCCCAAAAAUGGAUUGUGCUUGCUGAGUAGAAUAUCAAACAACCCUGAGGCCCAUCUUUUCUGUUGGAUCAUACUUACUAUGUUAUCUUGAGGUGAGCAACCCAUAAAGGCCAAUGGAUCUGGUGAACACAUUUCAGAUCUCCAUCCUCUUGUAUGAAUGUCCAACCCAGUAAGUACAUCCUCUGACGUUGAUCCAUAUAUCCAACCCACCUAAUAUUUUCAAAAAAGACUAGAAGAUUAUAUAUUUUUACCUAAGUUAAUGCAUAUUAUUACAUAAAAAAGUUAAUCCAUAGUAUGAGCAUUUUAGAUCAUCUUAUGAAAAGCUUACAAACGUCCAUGAAUUUUGAGAGAUUAUAUUGAAGAAAUUAAAUAAGACGUGCCUUUGGAUAUAUUGUCUAUGUUGCUUACCUGUUUGCCCCAGGCAGUGCCGUAUUCAUAUGUGCAACUAGCAACUUUUUUUGCAGUCUCAAGAGUGUUACAGAGGUUAUCAAUACGAGUAAAUGUUUUCCCUUCUAAAGCAUGAGUAGCUGAUUCAAUAAAUCUCUUUGAAGUUCCAAAUACCACUUCCAUCUCUAAAAAAUUCAACAAAAGAAAAUGCAUCAAGUAAUUAAGUUGAUUAUUUUGUCUAAACCUUCAAUUUUUAAAGGACAAAUGUUUUUACUAUACAAUCUUGUCAUGAGGUAAAUAAAGUGUGUUCAUAUAUUAUUUCAACUAAGAAUCAAAUUUAGGAUUUCUCAAAUAAUUUGACGCUAUCUAAAGCAGAUUAACCAUUUGUAUCCAACCACUUGGUUGAUAAAAUUGUAAUUUAGAUGUUUGCAGUUAUAAUUUCUUGAUUUGUUUUUAUAUAAAAUUAUUAUGCAAAGAUAUCACAUGAUAAAAAUAACAUCCCAACUAUGCUGAUAUCACAAAACUAUCACCUAUCAUUUACAUGAUUCUAAUAAAAUUAUUAAAAAAGAUAAAUAAACAAAGAAAAAUGUAAUUUAUUUUCUUGAAAUUAAAAAUUCCUAAUAUUUUCAAACUAAAUUUUAACCAUAUGUAGUACUUUUUUUUUAUAUGGAAUCAUAUGGAGUACUUAGAAAUAACAAGUUUCAAAAUCAUCUCUAUUAUAGUAAUUUUUUCUUUUCAAAUGCGUGCAGCCGCGCGCACACACAUAUGAAAAAAAAACAAUAAAGAUAACAAAGAAUGAUUGUAGAAUAAUAAAUAAUAAAUAUACAUGUAGUUAAUAUAAAUUACCGUUGACAACAUCAUCACCCUUCUUUCUAUUUUGAAUGUCGUCAUGAUCAGGAGAAAGGCCAUAAAUUACUUUUCUUCUAUGGAAGCAAUUUGUUCCUGCGUAUAGCAUCCCUUGAAGUCCUCCAAAUCCUCCCCCCAAGUACUAUAUUGGACAAAAUAAUUAAAAAAGUUAUUCCCAAAAAAAGUUUCUUUAUAGACUAACAUGUACACUUUAUUAAUGUUUUCAACUUCAUGCAAAUGUUUCCAAACAAGAAAAUUUCACUCACCACAAACAAUGCCACAAGCUGAUUUCCAAAAGGAUCGUCUUUUAGACCAUCAUAGAAUUGUUGGGGACAUUGAACAAAUGCAACUUCCUUUUCCCCUUUUGAAUCUAACAAAAUGCACAAGGCGUGUAGAGCAAUCUUAGGAUUGUUCACGUGCAUGUCACAAUCUAAGUUCAAUAUGAAAGGAGCAUUUGUCAUCAUUCCAGAGACUCUUGUCUGUUCAUUAUACAAAUGAUAGAAAUUUCAGAUUAAAAAAUUAAAAGCAUUAGUUUUAUUCUCUUUUAAUCACAAGAGACAUACUUAGAAGUUGGAUGUUCAUAUGUGAUAUUUCAAUAUGAAUUUAAAUAAUUAUAUAUGGUUGAUUACGAUUUAUUGACAAUGUGCUUUUUGUAGUGACAAUAUAAGAAAAUUAUUGUCCAAUAUCACAUUUUUUUCAUUGUUAAAUAUUUCAUAACACACUUAUAUUGACACAAUUGCAUUCAAGGAAUUGAAAACAAAACAAAAAACUUACUAGCACAUUCAUAGCACCAGCCUUGUAUUGAUGCGGAUGAUCUAACUUUUUCUCUCUAGAUAUGUAGAUUAUGUGAGGCAAAGCAUCUAGAAGAUUUUCCUUAUUCUCCCAUAUCACCUACCAACACAAAGAAAACAAUUAUGUUAUGAUGCAUGCAUCAUUUACAUAUUUUGGCCGCAAGGAAGUUGUAUUUUUAAGAUUAGAGAAAAUCACAAAAUUUAUCCAUGGAAAAUUAUCUUGUUCUUCUCAAAGAUGUCAUGAUUAGCUUAUGAAAUACUUUUUUGUUUCCUUUUUUUAAAACAUCAUUUCUAAAAUUGAAUCUUUAUUUAAAUAAUUUUUUGGGGUGAUCCAUUGGGUUAGAUGAUAUCAGGUGUGUCUUACAUUCAUUGAAAAUAUUUAAAAUUUAGUGUUUGGUUGGUUGGAUAUUAGUUGUGUCAUGCAAAAUAGUUUGAUGGAACAUGCUCAAUCAUCUUUGUAGUCUAUGUUUAAAUCAUAAGUAUAUUGUAAAAUGUUAUAUUUAGUUUGUAUAUAUUGUGUUUGAACUAUUUGGAAAGCUCCGAAUGAAAGAUUUUUCAACAAAAGAAGCUUGUUAUGGAAUAAUUCUGGUAUUAAAUCUAAAAAUAAUUGUCAUGACAGUGGCUUAAGAUAAAUAUCAAAUAAUUCAAGGUUGAUUUACAUCAAUAGUAGAUAAAUCAUAUUAUGUGCUUGACAUGAAAGUUGUGCUUUAUUAAAAUUGGUAGUAGGGUUUGUUUUGAGGUGGAGUUAGUUUGUUCUUUGGUUUGUAAUUUACUAGUUUUUAUCUUUCACACAUCUGCCUUGAAUACUUUUUAUUAAUAUUUUUUCUUCUUAUUAAAUAAAAAACUUUACUUGAUAUGUACCUUGAUUAUGGUUGAAUGAUUUUUAUGAUUUGUGCUUGAGAAAAUAGCGAACUCUCCUACAAGAGGAAGUGGAUUUUGUGAUGCAUUCUCAAUUUUACUUUUGAGGUACCCGUAUUCCUCCUGCAAAUAAAGACAACAAAAAUUUCAUGAGAUGGUAAUAAAAAUUUCAUCUACUCGACUCUUGUAAAAUUUGUUCAUCAGAAUAGUGUUAAAAGAGUUCGUAAAACAGGUGUCCCUUAAAAAAAAAAGAAUGAGUUUGAUUUCUAAAGUCUAUCUAUUAGAAAGAUAGCACAAUCCCAUAUAAAAAAACAUAGGUUUCCUUGUUGACGAGAUGAUUAGUUCCAUAGCAGGUUCAAAUAUUUUUAGUCGUGAGGUACGUUGAAACGCCUAAUGUGUCACAUAUUAUGAUUAGUCAGAAGAAAAAAACUUCAUGAACGCAAUAAAAAUGUACCCCUUUAAAUAAAACAAGUUUUAAAACAAAAAUUUCAGAUAUGAAUAUUAUCCUAAUGAAUUCACCUCUCAACAAAAUCAAAUUUAAAAAAUCAUAUGCUAGCAAAUUACCUUCAUUCUUAACCAUUCUUGAUAAAAUUCUGGCGACUCUUCUAUGUUGCUUACAGCAUUCUCAUCACAAAAGUACCUAAAAGGUGCUCUAACUUGCACAUUGUAUUUCUUACAAAAAGGUACCCAAAGCUUAGCAAAUUUAGAGGCUUCCACAAGGGCAUAAAAGGUAAGAGGUGAACAUCCAUCAUCAGAAACAUAGCAUGCUAGCUUGUUUGCUGGAUAAUCAAGUGCCAACAAUGACAACACUGUAUUCACUGUGAUUAUUGGUGGUUCUAGCCCUGGAUCUGCCGUUGUCACAAACAAGUCCAAUGCUGGU
rnacentral:lncRNA from 1 species